GCGGGGGUGCCCGAGCCUGGUCAAAGGGGGCGGACUUAAGACCGGCGGGACAAUAUAUUAACCGCCGAGGGGAGAUCCGCUGGCGUAGGCCUGCGUGGGUUCAAAUCCCACCCCCCGCA
rnacentral:tRNA from 1 species